rnacentral:misc_RNA from 1 species
UAAAAAAAAAAAAAAACUUAAAACUGCUACAGUAUCAUAAACGGUAAUGCACUACAGUGACACAAACAGCAAUUUUAAUUUUUUUUUUCCCCUUAAUUUUUCCACCUGCAUCAGGUUUGUGUCAUUGUUGAAGAGGCUGGUAGAUAUCGUUUCUCAUUUGAUAAUUCUCAAACUUGGACACCCAUUCUUCUACAAAGAGGAGCCCAUGCAUAACCCAUAAUCAUAUGCAUAUGUGUGCACACAUGUGUAAACACGGAAAAUUUCAGGAUCCACCACAUGCAUAAUGAAAAAGUAAACAAGGAGCUUCAUACUUAGAGGACUAUUCAUUGUAAAGUUUGGCACAAAGAAACAUGGGAUGUCAUUCCUCUAUAGAUUGGAUUAUUGAAGAAUUUGCGGCUUUUGUAAUCUAACUAUCACUAAAUAAAUGUAAAAAAAAACUGUUGCAUACUCUUAAUAUUAACUUUUAGAUGACAGGGAAUUCUAGAAAAUAUCAUUUUGUUAUUUAAAUCUUGAUGAUAAUUUGAUAAAUCUUAUUUGCAGCGAUUCUUUGUAAAGUAUACAACAAGAUAUGCAGAUGAAACCUCCUUGGAGUCUCUAACCCAUAAACCAGUCCAAGUUGCCAUCCCUACAUUAAAAUGUACCUUAGCGAUUGCCUAUGAAUGGCAUUGACACACAAAAAGGAUGACCCAACGCAUGAAACAUCUCACACUUGUGGGGCUUUGGGGAGGGUUAAUGUAAGCAGCUUUACCCUUGCUUUGCAAAGAGGCUGUUUCUAUGGCUCAAACCGUGACCUCCAAAUCAUAGAUGCAGGUAUAAGCCAGAUGUAUGUCAAAAACAUUGACACAAUGAAAUGUACUAUAGUACUAAAUUUAGAAAACAAAGAUGGAAGGAUCAUUUAAAAGGAUGAUACCUGCAUGGUGAACUUUAGAUAAUUAUUGAUAGCAUAU